ACAGUGAAUUUAAACAUCUCUGACGACACAAAGGAACCAUCUUGUGUAUUUUUGGACUUCUCAAACAAAAAUUUCAGCCAAGAAGGCUGCUCAACCGAGUGGAUAAAAGAGAAUGCCACAGUGGUCUGUUCUUGUAACCACCUGACUUACUUCGCUGUACU